AGUGAACGCUGGCGGCAGGCCUAAUACAUGCAAGUCGAACGGCAGCACAGCAGAGCUUGCUCUGUGGGUGGCGAGUGGCGGACGGGUGAGGAAUACGUGGGAAUCUGCCCAGUCGUGGGGGAUAACGUAGGGAAACUUACGCUAAUACCGCAUGCGCCCUUUGGGGGAAAGCCGGGGGACCUUCGGGCCUGGCGCGAUUGGAUGAGCCCACGUCGGAUUAGCUAGUUGGCGGGGUAACGCCCACAAGGCGACGAUCCGUAACUGGUCUGAGAGGAUGAUCAGCCACACUGGAACUGAGACACGGUCCAGACUCCUACGGGAGGCAGCAGUAGGGAAUAUUGGACAAUGGGCGCAAGCCUGAUCCAGCCAUCGCCGCGUGAGU
rnacentral:rRNA from 1 species